rnacentral:rRNA from 1 species
UUAGUAGCGGCGAGUGAAGCGGCAAAAGCUCAAAUUUGAAAUCUGGCUCUUUCAGAGUCCGAGUUGUAAUUUGAAGAAGGUAUCUUUGGGUCUGGCUCUUGUCUAUGUUUCUUGGAACAGAACGUCACAGAGGGUGAGAAUCCCGUGCGAUGAGAUGAUCCAGGCCUAUGUAAAGUUCCUUCGAAGAGUCGAGUUGUUUGGGAAUGCAGCUCUAAGUGGGUGGUAAAUUCCAUCUAAAGCUAAAUAUUGGCGAGAGACCGAUAGCGAACAAGUACAGUGAUGGAAAGAUGAAAAGAACUUUGAAAAGAGAGUGAAAAAGUACGUGAAAUUGUUGAAAGGGAAGGGCUUGAGAUCAGACUUGGUAUUUUGUAUGUUACUUCUUCGGGGGUGGCCUCUACAGUUUAUCGGGCCAGCAUCAGUUUGGGCGGUAGGAGAAUUGCGUUGGAAUGUGGCACGGCUUCGGUUGUGUGUUAUAGCCUUCGUCGAUACUGCCAGCCUAGACUGAGGACUGCGGUUUAUACCUAGGAUGUUGGCAUAAUGAUCUUAAGUCGCCCGUCUU